ACUACUUCUGCACUGUGUUCAACCAUUCAGUCAAUAAGAAGUGCUGCUGUGAAGAGAACAAUUCUCACACUGAAUGUUGAACAUCAGCUAGUUUCUCCUGUUGAUUUAAACCUUGUUGUAGAGAUGGAACAUUGGCUGUGGAUUAUUCUUGCUGCUCUUUUCUUUGAGUGUAAAGGAGAAGACAGAGUGAUCCAGCCAACAGGAGAUGUCAUCGCUACUGAAGGACACACAGUUACACUUGGCUGUACAUUUGAGGCCAGUAGCCUAGUUCCAUAUUUAUACUGGUACAAACAGGAUGGAAACAACAGCCCCAAAUUCAUCCUGAGCCGCAUUAAAGGGGACGAUGGGAACACACCAGAAGAGUCCAGAGAGAGAUUUUCAUCCACACUGAAUUCCACCUUCAGAUCAGUUCCUCUGAAGAUCCAGAAGCUUCAGCUGUCUGACUCUGCUGUGUACUACUGUGCUCUGCAGCCCACAGUGACAGGAAACACCAAAACUCUGUACAAAAACAUGAUGAGCAAAGACAACACAAUACUCCACAACAUCUACUCUGGCCCCGCCCACUGGUGUUUGAAUCAACCAAUGAGAUUGUUUGUGUCUCCAGAGCAGAAAUGUUGGAGGAACUAAAAGCACAAUCAGGUUGAUGUUGAGGAGAAGGGCUGUGCAGCAGAGAGGCUCUUUAGUUUGUUCAUUCUACUGCAGUGAAGAACAUUGCUCAUC